rnacentral:rRNA from 1 species
CUUAGUCGUAUCGGAUUACUGGGCGUAAGCGUGCGCAGGCGGUUUUGUAAGUCUGUCGUGAAAGCCCCGGGCUCAACCUGGGAAUUGCGAUGGAGACUGCAAGGCUUGAAUCUGGCAGAGGGGGGUAGAAUUCCACGUGUAGCAGUGAAAUGCGUAGAGAUGCGGAGGAACACCGAUGGCGAAGGCAGCCCCCUGGGUCAAGAUUGACGCUCAUGCACGAAAGCGUGGGGAGCAAACAGGAUUAGAUACCCUGGUAGUCCACGCCCUAAACGAUGUCUACUAGUUGUCGGGUUUUAAUUAACUUGGUAACGCAGCUAACGCGUGAAGUAGACCGCCUGGGGAGUACGGUCGCAAGAUUAAAACUCAAAGGAAUUGACGGGGACCCGCACAAGCGGUGGAUGAUGUGGAUUAAUUCGAUGCAACGCGAAAAACCUUACCUACCCUUGACAUGGAAGGAAUCCUGGAGAGAUCUGGGAGUGCCCGAAAGGGAACCUUCACACAGGUGCUGCAUGGCUGUCGUCAGCUCGUGUCGCGAGAUGUUGGGUUAAGUCCCGCAACGAGCGCAACCCUUGUCAUUAGUUGCUACGCAAGAGCACUCUAAUGAGACUGCCGGUGACAAACCGGAGGAAGGUGGGGAUGACGUCAAGUCCUCAUGGCCCUUAUGGGUAGGGCUUCACACGUCAUACAAUGGUACAUACAGAGGGCCGCCAACCCGCGAGGGGGAGCUAAUCCCAGAAAGUGUAUCGUAGUCCGGAUUGUAGUCUGCAACUCGACUACAUGAAGUUGGAAUCGCUAGUAAUCGCGGAUCAGCAUGUCGCGGUGAAUACGUUCCCGGGUCUUGUACACACCGCCCGUCACACCAUGGGAGCGGGUUUUACCAGAAGUAUGUAGCUUAACCGCAAGGAGGGCGCUUACCACGGUAGGAUUCGUGACUGGGGUG